AUCGCCAGGAUCUUGGCGAUAUAGGGAAUCAGGGGCAGAUUGAGGAUCAGCAGUACGAGAUUGCCGAUAUACAUGGAGAUAAUGACCGCCCAGAAGAUCUGUGGCUCGUCGACCAUCAGCCGCGGCCC
rnacentral:ncRNA from 1 species